rnacentral:rRNA from 1 species
GAUGAACGCUGGCGGCGUGCCUAAUACAUGCAAGUCGAGCGAACAGAUGAGGAGCUUGCUCCUCUGACGUUAGCGGCGGACGGGUGAGUAACACGUGGAUAACCUACCUAUAAGACUGGGAUAACUUCGGGAAACCGGAGCUAAUACCGGAUAAUAUAUUGAACCGCAUGGUUCAAUAGUGAAAGACGGUUUUGCUGUCACUUAUAGAUGGAUCCGCGCCGCAUUAGCUAGUUGUUAAGGUAACGGCUUACCAAGGCAACGAUGCGUAGCCGACCGGAGAGGGUGAUCGGCCACACUGGAACUGAGACACGGUCCAGACUCCUACGGGAGGCAGCAGUAGGGAAUCUUCCGCAAUGGGCGAAAGCCUGACGGAGCAACGCCGCGUGAGUGAUGAAGGUCUUCGGAUCGUAAAACUCUGUUAUUAGGGAAGAACAAAUGUGUAAGUAACUAUGCACGUCUUGACGGUACCUAAUCAGAAAGCCACGGCUAACUACGUG